UUUAAGUGGGGGAUAACCCGGGGAAACCCGGAUUAAUACCGCAUGAUCUCGCAAGAGCAAGAGGGGGACCGCAAGGCCUCUACGCUUUUAGAGGAACCUACGUCGGAUUAGCUAGUUGGUGAGGUAAUGGCUCACCAAAGGCGACGAUCCGUAACUGGUCUGAGAGGAUGAUCAGUCACACCGGAACUGAGACACGGUCCGGACUCCUACGGGAGGCAGCAGUGGGGGAAUAUUGGACAAUGGGCGAAAGCCUGAUCCAGCAAUACCGCGUGUGUGAAGAAGGCCUUCGGGUUGUAAAGCACUUUAAGUUGGGAAGAAAAAGCUUCACCUAAUACGUGGAGCCUUGACGGUACCGACAGAAUAAGCACCGGCUAACUCUGUG
rnacentral:rRNA from 1 species